UCCCUGGUGGCCUAGAUGGUAAAGCAUCUGCCUACAAUGCGGGAGACUCGGGUUUGAUUCCCGGUUGGGAG
rnacentral:tRNA from 1 species